AUUGAACGCUGGCGGCAUGUCUUACACAUGCAAGUCGAACGGUAACGGGCCUUCGGGUGCCGACGAGUGGCGAACGGGUGAGUAAUACAUCGGAACGUGCCCGAUCGUGGGGGAUAACGAGGCGAAAGCUUUGCUAAUACCGCAUACGAUCUGCGGAUGAAAGCAGGGGACCGCAAGGCCUUGCGCGGACGGAGCGGCCGAUGGCAGAUUAGGUAGUUGGUGGGAUAAAAGCUUACCAAGCCGACGAUCUGUAGCUGGUCUGAGAGGAUGAUCAGCCACACUGGGACUGAGACACGGCCCAGACUCCUACGGGAGGCAGCAGUGGGGAAUUUUGGACAAUGGGCGCAAGCCUGAUCCAGCCAUGCCGCGUGCAGGAUGAAGGCCUUCGGGUUGUAAACUGCUUUUGUACGGAACGAAAAGCCUUCUUUUAAUACAGGAGGGUCAUGACGGUACCGUAAGAAUAAGCACCGGCUAACUACGUG
rnacentral:rRNA from 1 species